AUGGGAGGUCCUUCCGGCUUCCCAGUGACAUAUCGCCGUAUUCGCAGGCUAUUUGCUUGGCCCAAGAUGAAAGCGCAUGUCCAGCAGUACGUGCGAUGCUGCCAAGUCUGCCAACAGGCCAAGCCGAACCGAACAGCUUCACCGAGCCUGUUAAUGCCUCUGCCCAUACCAAAGGAGUCAUGGGAUCUAAUUACCAUGGAUUUUGUGGACGGGCUACCUCAAUCGGGCCAAUACAACUGUCUGCUCGUGGUUGUCGACAAAAGAACUCGGUUUGCUCACUUCCUACCUCUAGCCUACCCAUACAUAGCAUCUAAAGUGGCCCUCCUCUAUAUGCAACAACUAUACGAGCUCCAUGGAUUCCCAGGAGCAAUCAUGUCUCACUAUGACCCAGUUUUCACCAGCCAUUUCUAG
rnacentral:rRNA from 1 species